UUCGGGACGCCGGCGAGUGGUGAACGGGUGAGUAACACGUGGAGACCUGCCCUGGGGUGGGGGAUAACAGCUAGAAAUGGCUGCUAAUACCGCAUACGCCUUACGAGGGAAAGAUUUAUUGCCCCAGGAGGGUUCCGCGUCGGAUUAGCUUGUUGGUGGGGUAACGGCCUACCAAGGCGACGAUCCGUAGCUGGUCUUAGAGGAUGAUCAGCCACACUGGGACUGAGACACGGCCCAGACUCCUACGGGAGGCAGCAGUGGGGAAUAUUGCGCAAUGGGGGAAACCCUGACGCAGCGAUGCCGCGUGGGUGAAUAAGGCCUUAGGGUUGUAAGGCCCUUUCAGUGGGAACGAUGAUGACGGUACCCACAGAAGAAGCCCCGGCUAACUCCGUGCCAGCAGCCGCGGUAAUACGGAGGGGGCGAGCGUUGUUCGGAAUUAUUGGGCGUAAAGAGCGCGUAGGCGGCUUGUUAAG
rnacentral:rRNA from 1 species